rnacentral:rRNA from 1 species
AGCGAACGCUGGCGGCAGGCUUAACACAUGCAAGUCGAGCGGGCACUUCGGCUUCAGCGGCAGACGGGCGAGUAACACGGUGGAACGUGGCCGUGGAAUCGGAAUAACGCUUGGAAACUAGCGCGAAUACCGGAUACGCACUUUUGGGGAAAGGCUUGCUGCCGAAGGAUCGGCUCGCGGCUGAUUAGCUAGUUGGUGGGGUGAUGGCCGACCAGGGCGAGGAUCAGUAGCUGGUCUGAGAGGCUGAUAAGCCACACUGGGACUGAGACACGGCCCCGACUCCUACGGGUGGCCGAAGUGGGGAAUCUUGAACCAGGGGCGCCAGCCUGAUCAAGCCAUGCCGCGUGAGUGAUGCAGGCCUUAGGGUUGUAAAGCCCUUUUGUCCGGGACGAUAAUGACGGUACCGGAAGAAUAAGCCCCGGCUAACUUCGUG